rnacentral:rRNA from 1 species
GAUGAACGCUGGCGGCGCGCCUAACACAUGCAAGUCGAACGGCACCCCUCUCCGGAGGGAAGCGAGUGGCGAACGGCUGAGUAACACGUGGAGAACCUGCCCCCUCCCCCGGGAUAGCCGCCCGAAAGGACGGGUAAUACCGGAUACCCCGGGGUGCCGCAUGGCACCCCGGCUAAAGCCCCGACGGGAGGGGAUGGCUCCGCGGCCCAUCAGGUAGACGGCGGGGUGACGGCCCACCGUGCCGACAACGGGUAGCCGGGUUGAGAGACCGACCGGCCAGAUUGGGACUGAGACACGGCCCAGACUCCUACGGGAGGCAGCAGUGGGGAAUCUUGCGCAAUGGGGGGAACCCUGACGCAGCGACGCCGCGUGCGGGACGGAGGCCUUCGGGUCGUAAACCGCUUUCAGCAGGGAAGAGUCAAGACUGUACCUGCAGA